CAACAUUAUGGAAUUGUUAAAUCUACCAUGGAGGUAACUUCAUUGGUUCAGAGGAACAUUGGACCAAUCUGAUUUUAGAUUUGACCUAUGUUGCUCGGACUCUUCUAAAAUGUCAAUGGGUGAGUGUCGGAUUCGUCAAAAGUAGUGUAUUUUUGGAGAAUCCGACACGGGUGCGGCAUUGAAAGUGAAGAGUCCGCGCAACUUAGGAUUUGACCAACUUCUGGUUGCAACAGAAUGGGACAACUCUUACAAAUAGCUAAAGCAAAGGGAGCUUUCUGAAGUCUUGUAAUGACCCUCUAUUGUUGUAGGUUGGAUAGAUGAAGAUAAAUUCAUGGUUUACAUUGGAAAAUUUAUGGUUGAAUGUUUAAGGUUUUGUGGUCCAACUAAAAGAUUGGUGGAGCUCCUACAAUGUUGAGGACAAGCAUGAUGUAAUUUUGUCAAAUAAAUUGUGGGAUGUCAGAAUAAUAUUAAAGAUCGAACAUUAAUGUUUUGAGAAUUGAAGAUAAGUCAAUUUUCUUGAGGAGAUCGAAAACUAGAAGAUACUAGGAGAUCGGAUACAGAGGUCAAAAUGUUUAUGGCCAAGAAAGAGGGAUGUAAAUGCCGAAUCUUCCGCGAAGCGAAAAGAGAAAUCAAAGAUGCAACAACAUCGAUAGGUUGUAAAUCUCUGAAGAUCCUGAAAAUUCUAUGGAUGUUUCGAGAAAAUAGUAUUGUCUCUACAAAAGAUAGUGAAUGGUUAUAGAGGUUUGACCUAGAGGAGGUAUAAUUGGCGAUAAAAAGUAAUGCAAGAGGUUAAAAUGUAUCCUUUGUCUAGAGGUGCUAAAUUAGUUUGAAGCAAGAUAUGAUGGCCACAUUCAAACACUUAUUUUUGGAAGGCUUUUCUAGAAAAAGUCUGAAUGCACUCAUUGUCAAGAAAAUAUCCAAAUGUUUGCAAGGAUUUUAGACAUGUUAACCUUGUAUGUAGCUGGUACACUAUCUUGGAGAAGUUCUACAUGAAAGAUGCAAGAAAGCGAUGGGGAGGGUAAUAACAGUUACACAAAAUGUCUUCAUGCCAGAAAACAAAUAAUAAAUUUUUAGUUGCAAAUGGGUACUUGGAUUCAUGCAGGUUGAAAGGGAAGAGAAGGAAUGAUUUGCAAACUGAACCGGGAGAGAGAUUAUGACCAUGUAAGUUGGUAUUUCCUACGGAAUACAAUGAAAACUAUGGGGUUUGAGGCCCAUUCUCAAUAAAGAUUAGGGUUUGAGGAAGUAUGAUUAACAUUGAUGAAGACUUGCAUCAGCAUAACAAUAUAUUCCAAAUAAAUGGCACACUAGAGACUUUCUUCUUCCUGUAGAGAGGACUGUGGUAUGAUACAAAUGCCUACA
rnacentral:lncRNA from 1 species